UGCCAGUAGUCAUAUGCUUGUCUUAAAGAUUAAGCCAUGCAUGUCUAAGUUCAGCAUAAAAAUGUAAAACCGCGAAUGGCUCAUUAAAUCAGUUAUAAUUUAUUAGAAUAUGGAAUACUACUUGUAUAACUGUGGUAAUUCUAGAGCUAAUACAUGCCUGAAAGUACUGGGGAACAGAACCUCGGGGCUAGCAUUUCUUAGACGCAAGCCGCCGGUUUUGGGCUGCGGCCGCUUAACCGGGUUGUCAAACUGUGCGGACUCUGUAGGACUUCGCCGAUCGCUUAGGCCUUUGAGCCGGCGAUAAUUCUUUCAAGUAUCUGCCUUAUCAACUUUCGAUGGUAGGUUAUACGCCUACCAUGGUUGUAACGGGUAACGGAGAAUCAGGGUUCGAUUCCGGAGAGGGAGCCUGAGAAACGGCUACCACAUCCAAGGAAGGCAGCAGGCGCGUAAAUUACCCAAUCUCGGAACGAGGAGGUAGUGACGAAAAAUAACAAUACGAGAAUCUUAGUAUUCUUCGUAAUUGGAAUGAGUACAAUCUAAAUCCUUUAACGAGGAUCUACUGAAGAGUAAGUCUGGUGCCAGCAAUCGCGGUAACUCCAGCUUCAGUAGCGUAUACUAAUGUUGCUGCGGUUAAAAAGCUCGUAGUUGAAACCUAAUGUUCUGACCUACAGUAGGCAUUGAGUCCUGCGCCUGGUGCUGAGCAUAUCCGGGGUGUACUGUCCGUUGUCUUCUUUAUCGAAGGCCUCGGGUGGGCAUCAUUAUAUCACUCUGAUAAAAUUAGGGUGCUUAAAGCGGACCUUGUGUCUCUAUACAUAUGCAUGGAAUGAUGGAAGAGGUUGUUGUUCCAUUGUGGCCUAGGAAUUGACAAGAUGACCAAGAGAAACAGACGGGGGCAUCUGUACUGCGGCGAUAGAGGUGAAAUUCUUGGACCGUCGCAAGACAAACUAAAGCGAAGCAUUUGCCAAGANNGUUUCAUUGAUCAGACGAAAGUUAGGGGAUCGAAGGCGAUCAGAUACCGCUUUAGUCCUAACCAUAAACGAUGCCAACUAGCAAUCCGCCUGAAUUUGUUUUUUGAUUCGGCGGGCAGCUCCGGGAAACCUAAGUACGGUUCCGGGGGAAGUAUGGUUGCAAAGCUGAAACUUAAAAGAAUUGACGGAAGGGCACACAAGGAGUGGGGCCUGCGGCUUAAUUUGACUCAACGCGCGAAAACUUACCUAGCCCGGACACUAGAAGGAUUGACAGAUUAAGAGCUCUUUCUUGAUUUGGUGGAUGGUGGUGCAUGGCCGUUCGUCGUUCGUGGAGCGAUCUGUCAGAUUAAUUUCGUUAACGAACGAGACUCUAUCUUACUAAAUAGGCGUAAUGUCCAAUAGUACAUUACGGAUAACUACUUAGAAGGACAAGUUGCUUUCAGCAACAUGAAACAGAGCAAUAACAGGUCUGUAAUGCCCUUAGAUGUCUAGGGCCGCACGCGCGCCACACUGAAGACAAAAGCGUGUAUUAUUCCUUGUUCGAGAGAACUGGGUAAUCACAAACUGUCUUCACGUUGGGGAUUGGGUUUUGCAAUUUUCACCCAUGAACGAGGAAUUCCUAGUAAACACUAGUCAUCACCUAGUGUUGAUUACGUCCCUGCCCUUUGUACACACCGCCCGUCGCAGUAACCGAUGAAGGACUUAGUGAGGUCUCCUGAUUGGCUUUUCUUGUGGCCUUCGGUUGCAUGAAUUGCUGAGAAGAUGCCCUAACUAGCUCCUAAUAGGAUGCUAAA
rnacentral:rRNA from 1 species